rnacentral:lncRNA from 7 species
CUCUCCUUCACUUCCCCUCCCCUCCCCUCUCUUUUGCCCCCAUCCACUACCAUUCCCCCUUGCUUUAAGGGAAACUUACCUUUCCUGCUCUUCACUGACUUCUUGAUUCUCGUGGCUUUGGCUGCUAUUUUGCCUUGCUUUCCUUUGCUCUGCUAUGCAUUGCUUUCUCUGUAUUUCUUGCCAUCCACUCCUUCCUUUGAGUUAUUCUUUACUUUUUCACUUGGCUUUUUUCUUCUUUUCUCUUUACCUUUCUUCUCUUGUCAUUAUUCGGUUUUUUGUUUGUUUUUUCUGUUUUCAUCUAUUAGUUUUUUCUUUUCUUUUUUCCUUUUUUCUUUUUUUCAUAUUUUUCUCUUUUCUCUUUUUUAUUUCUAUUUUCUCUUUUUUCUUUUCUUUUCUUUUUUUCGUUUCUUUUUUUUUUUUUCUCUUUUUUCUUUUUUGUUCAUUUUCUUUUUCUUUCUCUUUUUUCUUUUUUUCAUUUCUUUUUUUCUUUUUCUUUUUUCAUCUUUUUUUCUUUUUUCUUUUUUUUUUUUUUUCUCUUUUUCUUAUUUUUCUUUUUCUUUUUUCUCUUUUUUCAUAUUUUUUGUUCUUAUUUUUUCUUUUCUUUUCUUUUUUUCAUCAUAGGUUUGCCUUCAGCCCUCCCCUCAGCCCUUCCCUCCGCUCUGCUCUUCACCCAUCCCCUCCCCUCCCCAUCCCCUCUUUUCUCCCUUACCCCCCUUUCCCCUUGCCUUUGCCUCCCAGUACCUUGCCUGCCCUUCACUUACCUUCUCCUCACUUCCUGCUCCUUGAUGCUAUGGGCUUUUGCUGCUACUCACGCCAAACCCAACACUUGCCUACUCUGCGUGCUGCUCUGCCAAGUUGCUCUCUACUCUGCUCACAGCUUCACGCCUACUGCCUGCCCUUCUCUGUCCCCUUCUCGUGCCCUUCACGCUUUUCCUCCCCUUGCUGAGCAAGGCCAUGCCCGGUAGCUACCCUUGAACCUCCUCCGCCCUUUGCCUUCCUCCACAGAGAUGCUUGCUUCUGGCCAGCACUCCUGCCCGGUGCCUAGCCCACACACCUCAUCUCUUGGGGAGAUAGCAAGCUGGCCUGUAGCUACCCCAACCUCCUCCCGGCAUGGCUUCUCAGCUUUGCUUCAAGCCAGAACCCAAAGGAGCUCCUCUUACCUUUUGGCCCACAUUCUUCUCCUCCCGCGCAGCUCCUGUGGCAAGCAGGGGGCACAGCUCUGGCCAGAGUCCUCCAUUCCUGCAAGGUUGCUUUUUGUCAUUCUUUGCCUUCUGUUGCUGUGCUCUCUUUUGCUGUGCUAUGCCUAGCUUUCCUACUUGCUUGCUCUGUAUUUACAUGCAUUGCUUUUGACUUGUUAUUCUCCUUUGUCCUCUGUUUCUUAGUUUCCCUUCAACCCUCCCCCUUCCCUCACCCUACCUCCAAAUU